UCUCUUUGCGCUCUUCAUAUCGGCCUUUUGCUGUGCUUUGUUGAAAGCACAGGGACAUCAUGAAGGGGGCUUUCUGCGGUAACAGGUGUACCUGGCAGAGAGCCAGAAUGGGGAUUUGCCUGGGCUGUUUUGCCAGGGCUCUGCGGAACAGAUGUGUUUUAGAUGUUCUAGAACCUUCUGCCCUGGCAGGAAGCUUUGGAGUCUUGGAUUUGUGCUGAUCGCUUCAGGACUCCACAGGUGACUCAAAGCUUUUCUCUCACAUCAACCCCCCCAACACACACACACACACACACACACACACACACACAGUCACACACCCACAGCUUUUCUCUCACAUUAACCCCCGUUCCACAGAGAAGAAAACAAAAGGAAACAGAAGGAAAUGUAUAAUCCCGGGUGGGUGUGGCAUAGCUGUUCUGAUGUAUGCAUGUGUGCAAGCAUGCUUUUUCUCUCUCUCUCUCACACACACACCCACACACACACACCCACACACACACACCCACACACAGACAGACAGGCACACACCCACAGGUACACCACAUAUACCGCAUCCAGAGCAUGCACACGGACCCUUGUUCAGAAGCCAACACAUCUGUUGCUCGUCCCGAUUCAGCAAAUAUUUGAAUGUAAAAUUCUGCUCAGUGGCUGUGUGCGCCAGCAGGCAUUUGAUGGGAUGAAACUUGUAGGAGGAGUAUAAGACGUGCUUCACCAAUGGGCCCCUUAGUCUAAAAAGGCCUGUACAUAUGCAUCUGUGUAUCACUCUAAGCCCCCCCCCCCCCGCCACACACACACACACACAUCAUUCACACACACGCACCCCUUGGGCGGUACCAGGGUGUUUAUUUGUCCCCGAUACUGGUGAGGGUUGGUCAUUACACACACACACACACACACACACACACACACACACACACACCGAGCGCAGGCUUGAGACCACUGUGAGUUUGAUUGCAUGGGUACGAGUGCACCACUGGGUAAGGCAACAUCAGCUCAUAAAGACGGCCCAGAAGAGGCACCACACCACACGCAGGUUCCACCACCCCUGCUGCUGCUGCCGCUGCUGCCGCCGUGCGGG
ensembl:lncRNA